GACGAACGCUGGCGGCGUGCUUAACACAUGCAAGUCGAACGGACCUUCUGAUCUUUUGGUUGGUUGGUUAGUGGCGAACGGGUGAGUAACACGUGAGUAACCUGCCCUUCUCUUCGGGAUAACUGUCGGAAACGGUGGCUAAUACCGGAUAUUCAUAUGCUGUCGCAUGGUGGUGUGUGGAAAGAUUUUUUGGUGGGGGAUGGACUCGCGGCCUAUCAGCUUGUUGGUGAGGUAGUGGCUUACCAAGGCUUUGACGGGUAGCCGGCCUGAGAGGGCGACCGGCCACACUGGGACUGAGAUACGGCCCAGACGCCUACGGGAGGCAGCAGUGGGGAAUAUUGCACAAUGGGCGGAAGCCUGAUGCAGCGACGCCGUGUGCGGGAUGACGGCCUUCGGGUUGUAAACCGCUUUCAACUGUGACGAAUUUGACGGUAGCAGUAGAAGAAGCACCGGCUAACUACGUGCCAGCAGCCGCCGUAAGAC
rnacentral:rRNA from 1 species